AGACGUCGCUAAAGCGACACCUCAGAGCGAACGGAUCGAGAUAGAGACUGGAUCUAAUAUGCUUCUUAUCCAAAACUGACG
rnacentral:ncRNA from 1 species